UCCAGGGUAGCCUAGUGGACAUGGCAUCUGCCCGGUAAGCGGAACAUUGUGGGUUCGAUUCCCAUUCCUGGAC